CGGCGGACGGGUGAGUAACACGUGGAUAACCUACCUAUAAGACUGGGAUAACUUCGGAAACCGGAGCUAAUACCGGAUAAUAUAUUGAACCGCAUGGUUCAAUAGUGAAAGACGGUUUUGCUGUCACUUAUAGAUGGAUCCGCGCCGCAUUAGCUAGUUGGUAAGGUAACGGCUUACCAAGGCAACGAUGCGUAGCCGACCUGAGAGGGUGAUCGGCCACACUGGAACUGAGACACGGUCCAGACUCCUACGGGAGGCAGCAGUU
rnacentral:rRNA from 1 species